UGCGGCACUUCCUUGGAUCAA
rnacentral:piRNA from 1 species